AUUGAACGCUGGCGGCAUGCUUUACACAUGCAAGUCGAACGGUAACAGGUUAAGCUGACGAGUGGCGAACGGGUGAGUAAUGCAUCGGAACGUGCCCGGUCGUGGGGGAUAACGCAGCGAAAGCUGCGCUAAUACCGCAUACGAUCUAAGGAUGAAAGCGGGGGACCGUAAGGCCUCGCGCGAUCGGAGCGGCCGAUGUCAGGUUAGGUAGUUGGUGGGGUAAAGGCUCACCAAGCCAACGAUCUGUAGCUGGUCUGAGAGGACGACCAGCCACACUGGGAGUGGGGCACGGCCCAGACUCCUACGGGAGGAAGCAGUGGGGAAUUUUGGACAAUGGGCGAAAGCCUGAUCCAGCAGUGCCGCGUGCAGGAAGAAGGCCUUCGGGUUGUAAACUGCUUUUGUACGGAGCGAAAAGGUCUCCUCUAAUACAGGGGGCUCAUGACGGUACCGUAAGAAUAAGCACCGGCUAACUACGUGCCAGCAGCCGCCGUAA
rnacentral:rRNA from 1 species